CUCGAUCCCAGGCCGAGUUUUCGCUUUUAUAACGGUUAGGCGAACAACUGGGCCUGGUACUAGUUGUCUGCGCAUGCGUCAAUCGUUCGUCAGAUUCUGACGAAUGGAUAUUCUCGUUCACUUUCGUGACAUUUAUAUUCGUGUACUAUCGUGUACUAGAAGUCAGUUCCCGUUUUAUCAUUAUUGGACUUGAUUGGAAUGGCUCUUAGCUGAAGCUUCUCUCUUCUCUGAAGCUUAUUCUGAAGACUGAACAACAAGGGAAGAGGUAUAAAGCUUUGUCAAGCUUGUUAAGGUCAGAUAUUUUUGUGUGGGCCCUAUGGCCGGCUAUGCUAUCAAGUCUUGUUCAUGUUUGGCAAGAAUGUAGGUAGACUAUAGUUUCAUCAUUAAUAUGGUGGAUCAAGUGAAGAGUGUGAGCUAGAGAACUUGGUGCUGCCAUCAUCAGCUCGUCGACAAUGACACUAUAACCGAGAAAUUUAAUAUGUAUAGAUCUACACGUAUUUAAAAUGUCUACUUCUCUGUACAGGAGCAAUGGCUAAUAUCCAGCUAUCCCAACAGUGCUCCUCUUGGCUAUACUAACGGACGAGACUGGACAGUUUGAGACACAGGACUGGAGUAUGACCUGCUCAUUCGAGCGUUGCUGGGUAGCUCAGAGACAUCAAGAGAAUCUACGUUUUCUCAAGCAAUGAGUUACGAGUUGGGGCCUAGAAUCAGAGAAGUCCAGCAGCCUGCUAAAUCUUUUUGAAACGUAAUUUGAAGGCAUUCAAUCAUCCUGAAGUUGCCCUGGGUCACUGUAAUUGUGCUGCAGCACAACUGGCAACUCCCCAGGCCUUUGUGAAGCAGCUCCCUAUGUGCAUCUUUUGUGUACUCACUCUGUGCAUUUUCUGUGUACAAAUUUCCAUUAUUGAUUUAUUAAAUAUUUUUGCCGACCACAAA